rnacentral:rRNA from 1 species
CACGUAGGGUGCGAGCGUUGUCCGGAAUUAUUGGGCGUAAAGAGCUCGUAGGCGGUCUGUUGCGUCGCUGUGAAAACCCGGGGCUCAACCCCGGGCCUGCAGCCGAUACGGGCAGACUAGAGGUAUGCAGGGGAGAACGGAAUUCCUGGUGUAGCGGUGAAAUGCGCAGAUAUCAGGAGGAACACCGGUGGCGAAGGCGGUUCUCUGGGCAUUACCUGACGCUGAGGAGCGAAAGUGUGGGGAGCGAACAGG